GGGUCGCUGGAAGUAAGGCAACAAGAAACCAGCUCUUUAAACUCUGCAUUUUCUGCUGGACACAAGAACUACCCAGAGCUCAUUUGCAACUGCUCGUUCUAUGUGAGAAAACGUCAUUUAUAGAGAAGAGAACACACAAUAAAUCAGAGAAAGCUGUAAGGAUCCUGCACCUGCUGGGAUCUCUGCACUGGUACGGCCUCUCCGGCCAGCGGGGGGUCUACGGGGAUGAGCCAGGCCGAGAGGUUUGGGGUGUCAGCGCUGGAGGGAGCGCAUCGAGGACCAGACACCAGCAACCUCCCCCCCCCACAGGGGGACCCCACGGAAAGGAGCAUCUGAGCCACGGCACAGCUUUUCUGGGGUGCUGUGGGCAUCCAGCUGAAAUGACAGCAAGGAAAUAGCAGCAAGAAAACAAUAGCCAAGGAAAUAACAGCCAAGGAAACAGCAUCCAAGGAAACAGCAGCUAAGGAAAUGGCAGCCAAGGAAAGCCUCAGCAGUUCCUACAUCAGAACAAGAGCUGAAAAAUAAGCACAGGCAUCGUCACCAUCCCACUUACUUUAGCUUGAACUUGUUGAAAAUCUCCUCCUCAUCUGAGGUCUCUUCAUCGUACAGCUCAGCCAUAGAUUUUUUAUGCUGGGAAUCGAGAGGCCGGUACAGGUCUCUAAGCCACUGCGGUUUGGUUUUGCCAAGAUCCGAUACAUGCGAGCCCUGGAAAAUGCCAGGGAAGGGAAGGUUUCGGAGAAGAUUCUGUGAAGAGCAGUCCUGGACACUGUCAUGCGUGAGACUUGUCAAGCUGCAUUGUAACAGUCCUGUACCCUAACUGCUCACUUUCCUGUGCCAUCUAAAAUAUACAUGCAUUUCUGCACAAAGAUGGCCAAAAAAGUAGGAGUUUUAAAACCUUAGCGUGCUGUACAAUUCCAAGAUGCAAUUACUUCCUGGGAUUUAAGUCAAGAUAAUUGCUGCAUAAAAGGAGGAUGCCAGAGGCUGUAACCGUUGACAGCUGUAUCUCCAAUCCCUAGAUGUAACAUACAGGUUCUGCGCAAAAACUAAAUAUCCACUGCUUUUACCUGAACAAGCCCCUUCAGUUCCUCUUCUGUUAGGAAGUCUGUGGGCUCCUCUUGGGAGGAAUUGUACUCCACGACCACUUUCCCAUUCUCUGAAACAGAAUAAACAGCCAGAGACACGGUUA